AAAUUCAGAUCGGGAGAGAUCGCGUUAAAUCGCGACGCCGAAGGAGCAACCACCCCGGAAACUCUCAGGCAAAAGGACCGGUUUGAAUCG
rnacentral:ncRNA from 1 species